CAUGCAAGUCGUGCGAGAACGGUUCCUUCGGGAACCAAGUAGAGCGGCGAACGGGUGAGUAAUACGUGAGCGAUCUGCCCGGAGGUGGGGGAUACCCCAGGGAAACCUGGACCAAUACCGCGUACAGCGUCGGGAGUGGGUGCCCGACGUGAAAGCCGGCCUCUUCUAUGCUGGCGCCUUCGGAUGAGCUCGCGGCCUAUCAGCUUGUUGGUGGGGUAAUGGCCUACCAAGGCUACGACGGGUAGCUGACGUGAGAGCGUGAUCAGCCACAUUGGGACUGAGACACGGCCCAGACUCCUACGGGAGGCAGCAGUGGGGAAUAUUGCGCAAUGGGCGAAAGCUUGACGCAGCGACGCCGCGUGGGGGAGGAAGACUCUAGGGUUGUAAACCCCUGUCAGGUGGGACGAACACCCUGUCGGAUAAUACUCGGCAGGACUGACGGUACCACCAGAGGAAGCUCCGGCUAACUCCGUGCCAGCAGCCGCGGUAAUACGGGGGGAGCGAGCGUUGUUCGGAAUUACUGGGCGUAAAGGGCGCGUAGGCGGCCUCGUAAGUCGGGUGUGAAAUGCCGGGGCUCAACCCCGUGCACUGCACCCGAUACUGCAUGGCUAGAGAAAGGUAGAGGCGAGCGGAAUUCCCGGUGUAGCGGUGGAAUGCGUAGAUAUCGGGAAGAACAUCUGCGGCGAAGGCGGCUCGCUGGGCCUUCUGACG
rnacentral:rRNA from 1 species